rnacentral:pre_miRNA from 1 species
UGCGGGGCUAGGGCUAACAGCAGUCUUACUGAGGGUUUCUUGGAAACCACACACAUGCUGUUGCCACUAACCUCAACCU